AUUGAACGCUGGCGGCAGGCUUAACACAUGCAAGUCGAACGAGUGGCGGACGGGUGAGUAAUGCUUGGGCAUCUAGCUUAUGGAGGGGGAUAACUACGGGAAACUGUAGCUAAUCCCGCGUACCAUAGGAUGAGCCCAAGUGGGCUUAGGUAGUUGGUGAGGUAAAGGCUCACCAAGCCGACGAUCCCUAGCUGGCCUUGGAGGAUGACCAGCCACACUGGGACUGAGACACGGCCCAGACUCCUACGGGAGGCAGCAGUGGGGAAUAUUGCGCAAUGGGGGAAAGCUGACGGAGCCACGCCGCGUGAAUGAAGAAGGCUUUCGGGUUGUAAAGCUCUUUUGGUAGCGAGGCGUUAUCUACAGAAGAAGCACCGGCUAACUCCGUGCCAGCAGCCGCGGUAAUAC
rnacentral:rRNA from 1 species